rnacentral:rRNA from 1 species
AUGGAGGCGCUGAAGCAGAAGGCGAAGGACAUGGUCACCACGCGCGAGGGCGCGCUGGGAGCCGUGGCGGUGGUCGCCGGCGCCGUGGGCGCCUACUUCUUCUGGCCUGCCGGUGUGGCCGCCGGCGCCAUGAUGAAGGCCCCAGGCGCCGCCGGAUUCCUCAUCUCACGCGCGGCCUUCCUGGCCAACCCGCAGCUCUACUUCCAUCUCCUGCGCACCGCCGGACCCAAGGCAGCGGCCGCCGCCUUCCUUUAG